rnacentral:rRNA from 1 species
GACGUAGGGCGCGAGCGUUGUCCGGAUUUAUUGGGCGUAAAGAGCUCGUAGGCGGCUUGUUGCGUCAGCUGUGAAAACCCGCAGCUCAACUGUGGGCUUGCAGCUGAUACGGGCAGGCUUGAGUUCGGUAGGGGAGACUGGAAUUCCCGGUGUAGUGGUGAAAUGCGUAGAUAUCGGGAGGAACACCAGUGGCGAAGGCGACUACCUGGCCUGUUUCUUGACGCUGAGGCGCGAAAGCUAGGGGAGCAAACGGG